GAAAGGGUCACAAGAACUGCUAAUUCACAAACCUGAUCCUAAUAAAUCAGACCUUUC
rnacentral:tRNA from 1 species